GGAAUUUUCCGCAAUGGGCGAAAGCCUGACGGAGCAAUACCGCGUGAGGGAAGACUGCCUAUGGGUUGUAAACCUCUUUUUUCAGGGAGGAAUAAAAUGACGUGUACCUGAAGAAUAAGCAUCGGCUAACUCCGUGCCAGCAGCCGCGGUAAGACGGAGGAUGCAAGUGUUAUCCGGAAUUACUGGGCGUAAAGCGUCUGUAGGUGGUUUAAUAAGUCAACUGUUAAAUCUUGAGGCUCAACUUCAAAAUCGCAGUCGAAACUAUUAGACUAGAGUAUAGUAGAGGUAAAGGGAAUUUCCAGUGGAGCGGUGAAAUGCGUAGAUAUUGGAAAGAACACCGAUGGCGAAAGCACUUUACUGGGCUAUUACUAACACUCAGAGACGAAAGCUAGGGUAGCAAAUGGGAUUAGAUACCCCAGUAGUC
rnacentral:rRNA from 1 species